AACAUACUCCUUCCGUCCGAAAUACUUGUCGCACAAACAGAUAAAAAUGGAUGUAUCUAGAACUAAAAUACAUCUAGAUACAUCUAUUCCUAUCUAUUCCCAUGACAAGUAUAUCCGGACAGAGGGAGUAGUAU
rfam:Hordeum vulgare subsp. vulgare, WGS project CAJW01000000 data, contig: morex_contig_1557819